CCCUUGGUCAGCGGCGUACUAAUUCCAGUCUUCAUUUGCAUUGUUUUUCCAUCCUCAAGGAACGCCUUGUAGAAAAGUAUAAUCGUGUCCGCUGCAUCCAAGGGGUUUCCACUUCUGUGUUAUGAAUCAUCCUACGUUACUUAGAACUUGGAGAAAUGUAGCUGUCAAAGGAAUAACUGAAAGCAUUGGCAAAAGGUCAUUCUACACAUGGCUUAACUUUGUCUUCAACAGAUUAUGCAAGAAACCUUGGAAAUGCAGCCAAACAAGGCUUAAAGAGACAACCCAUUGGGUGGCAUAUUAUUUUACGAAUUCAAAUUCUUGGUAUCCUGACCUGGACAUGCCAUGAUCCUGUUGGCCAUACUGAUAAUUCAACGAUUACCACCCGUACCAAUGGCACCACAGAGUGUACAGAAAGGGGGGGACUGAGUGCAAAGAUUUGUUGCAGUAGUGCAUCAGCACUCUGUCAGACAGGAAACAAAGAUGGCAAGAUCUGGAACUCUCCUGCCAUACCUUGCUCAGAGAGAAAUUCAGUCUUGCUGUUUUUCUCCUCAGAAGAGUGUUCUGCUUCAGAAGAAGUGUUCGCUUCAACAGCAGAAUUGUGUUCAGAUAGUUUUCCUUUAUUUCCCUCAUUAUGGAACAAUGGGAUUGCUGUCACCUUUUGUUGUUUUAUGCACUUGUUGAAAUCGUUAUUUAGUUCUUUGAUACUGAGCUCUCUUUACUAAUAAGUGAUCAAAGUUAAAUGGAAGGAAGUGGUUACCAUGACUAGUGCAUGUAAUUGUGCAAACUUUUCCAGCUUUUAAAAUUAACAAUAUCAUCAUUUUGGUGAAAAGUGAUAAACUUAUGCCUUAUGGUGAGCAAAGACAACAAUGGAUCAAUGCUGGUUGAGAAAAUCACUACCCACUGAAAAGGCUCUCUUAAGUCGAGGCAAUGGACUGAGAAAAAAUCCAUGAUCAGGAUCAGAAUUGGCCAGUAUAAACCAUAAGGAUUAUGGGAUUGAUAGAAAAUUCUAGUCAGAAUUACCAGAUUGAAGAACCCUAUUGCGGACCCUCUUUCCCUCUUUUCUUUUUCAAAAAUAUUUCAGGUUAAGAUUUAAAUGAGUUUGAUAUGUCUCAAUUUUCUUAUUGUACUCUUGAAGCUUUAAAACUUAAAACUGAGUUGCUAAGGAAAAAGCUUCAACCAUCUAGAAAUAAUACUGUGUAACUUGUUCAUCUCUUCCAGAGUUGAUGAAGAACGAAUUAAAGAAUUUGGAGCUGACAGCACUUUACAAUGACUGAAAUAAAUAUAAAGUGCUUGAAAAUCCCAAAUGGCAGGAGGCAGACCAGUUGGCUAUUUACACAGUGCAGCCGAGGAGUUAGACUUGGGGUGACUGUGAACAAUUCCAGUGAAUGGCAGGAUGGAGGACUUGAACCUGGUACCACCAGAUUACAAGUCUAACACCCUAUCCACUCGGUCACACCACCUCCUAUUUUGCAUAUAGAAAAGUUAUGUGGUAAUUUUAUUAUUGUUGAAACUGAGUACAAUAUUUUCAAAAACCUGUGCUUGAGUCACUACUAUAGAAAUCAGCACCCUUUGAUUUACCCUGUGCUUAAGACACUUUUAAGUGUAGCAGUAAAUUUAUUUAAGUAAAUAGAAUAAGAAAGAUGACAAUUUUGGCCUUGGUUGUGGAAUAAACAGUGGUGUUACAUGUAUUUGUUUCCUCAAGGCUGUGGACAAAGGAAAAAAAAAGCUCUCCACAAGCAAGCAAACCUCAAAUCUGAGGUUGGAUCUUGUAGGAGACGUUACCCAUGCUCAUUACAGAAAAAAGUACAUCUUCUAGACAUCUCAGCUCAAUUUUUUUCAAAGGUACCAUUUGGUAAUUUAAAAUCACAAAGACUUCUGUUCAGCUGAAUCAUAAUGCUGUCAGGAAAAAAAAAA
rnacentral:misc_RNA from 1 species